UACGUAGGGCGCGAGCGUUGUCCGGAAUUAUUGGGCGUAAAAGAGCUCGUAGGCGGCUUGUCACGUCGGGUGUGAAAGACCGGGGCUUAACUCCGGUUCUGCAUUCGAUACGGGCUAGCUAGAGUGUGGUAGGGGAGAUCGGAAUUCCUGGUGUAGCGGUGAAAUGCGCAGAUAUCAGGAGGAACACCGGUGGCGAAGGCGGAUCUCUGGGCCAUUACUGACGCUGAGGAGCGAAAGCGUGGGGAGCAAACAGG
rnacentral:rRNA from 1 species